GGGUUCUCCCUUUCUUCCCUUUCUUCUCGUCUCAUCGUGCUCGCUUUCGGAUCGUCUCGCUGCUGCUCCCGACUGCACGCAAGGCUUCAGUAUUAGUCUUGAGCAAGAUUUCCUGUGCUUUGCAGAAGGAGAACUGGGAGAAGUGAGUGAGACUAUUGCAAGCAAGAGAUGUGAAAAAGACUGCAAUAGAGAGGGAGAGUAAUAAUAGAUGGCAAAGGGGAGUGAAUAGUCUAUGAUGUGCAAGGGAGAGGACAAAGCAGAAGAGCAGGGAAAAGAGGAAAGAGCUGUUUGGUAGGAAUAGACAGGAGGCACAGCUUGUAAAUCAGGAAUGACAGAAAACCAUAGCUGAGGGCCAAGGCUCAUCAGAAGGACUGUGGAAUGAAUGAAAGCACAAGUUCAGCUGUACAAUUUGUCUUUCCUGCAUCUACAUUGUGUAAAACUUUAAUGAAUCUGCAGCCUGGUGACUGUUCCUGGGAGGCAAACAAAGCUUGGACUGAGUAGCAACAGGUACUCCAGUUCCUUGCAGCUGAAAUUGAUGCAUCAGACCUCUGCUGCCAGUUCUGUGGCUGCCAUCUCACAGCACCCGUAUGAGUCUAGCACCAGCUGCUUUGAAAAAAAUAAAAAAUAAAAAAAUAAAAAACACUGGGAACAAAAAGAUGCAUUUGAGCUGAAAAUAAAGUUUUCAAUGGCUCAAAAGAAAAUGCCUGCUUCGCUGAAAAAUUUUGAAAUGUUUAUCUCUGGCUCUUUAGCAUACAGAAGGAUUCUAAGCCCUUUGGCAGCCCUUUCCACAAAUGGAUGGGUUUGGCAUUCUUAAGAUUUAAGCUUCUCCCUGCUCCGCUGAUGGCCUCACAGCACGCAUCUAAUGCAUGUUGAAUCCAUGGCCCUGAUUCACAGAAAUCUCACAAUAGCACAACCAGCUGCAGCACAGACAGCACACGAAAUCUUGCAUAAGGAUCCCUCUGACUUCACAGAGAUCACGUUUUUGGCCCCAUUUUUCUGCUCUCUCUCCUUGCCAUGGACAACUCUAUGACUUGUUUAGAAGAGUGCCUGGUGCAACCAAAUCACACUGCAGUGUUGGAGACGCCACAGUCCCCACUGUGAGAAUAUAAGAUGAAGUCAGAGAGAAAUUUAUCCUGGUGAAUGGUUUUCCUUGCAACAGUAUGACCAGCAGAGUUGCACGGGAAUGCCUCCAUUGCAGACAGCUGUGAAGUGUAACAGUACACAACCUGACUGUGAAGAAAACCACCUGCGCAGCACAAAUUACAGCCUUAGCUUUAAUUUACUCGUCUUCAGGAAAACUAAUAAGUGCUUUUGAAACCAUUUAGAAAACUGCUGACUAAUUGCUGGCCUGACUAACGCCCCACUAGGCAGAUUUCAGUUUGAUAAUCCUGACAGUAACACUAAAAACAACUUCCUCUCCCUAUCUUUGCUAUUUCAGGGUAUGGUUCCCAUAUGUCUCUCCUGUACUUUUCCCUGGCAGAGUAAAGGAGCCACUGAGCACACUCAAUAGAAAAGAGGUGGGGAGGGAACAGAAAAAGCGGGGAUAAGAAUUCCUUCCUUUUUAUUUAAUGAUUGGAAGUGUUUUCCCAUCAGCCAUAUAAAAUCAUGUAGUCUUUUUGUCAUUUUUCUUUAUUAAAGAUAUAUUUAAAUUCCAGCCUAAGGACUGGACCUCACAGGUUAUUUCUGUAGGAAGAGCACUGGGAAGAGGUAGGAUGCAGACUUCAAUCCAUACGGUUGCUUUUUUUCUGUAGAGGCAGCUCUUUCCCAGACAGGGGCAUACAGAAUCAUUAGCGGUUUAGCUGCUUUGGGUUGGAAGAUAGUACUCACUUGUUGCCAUUUUCCAGUCACCUGUUCAAACCAGACCCCCAAGUUUAGACAGAUGGGAUGCUCUCUGAUUAAGCAGUCACCUAUCCAUUUCUCUGAAUCCCUCCCAAAGAGUGUGUCAGCUUGAGAGAGAGAUUUCUGUGGUAAUGUAGAAGGCAGCCGUCUGGUGGUCCUUCUACACUCUUACAGCUGAGACCAUUGAGUGUUGCCCCAAAAUAGGGCUUUGUCUUGGUCUUCUACUCCACAGUUUCCAGGCGAAGCCACUAAGAUCACUUCAGCUGAGGUUUUCCCACUUGGGUAUAUUCCUGGGUCUCAGUUUCUGGGAGCACUGCUGGAGAUCCCUAAGGACAAACCAACUGAAUUCAUUAGGAGUAAGGCUGUAACAAAAACCUAUGUUAUUAGGCACACAUGGUUUCUAGAAAAGCUUCUACUCGUGGUCAUCAAGGGAGCUUGGCUGCCCUAACCCAAACAAGUCUUGUUUCUUACCUCACCUUAAGCAACCCAGGCAGCUGACUGAGGGGUUGACAGAGUGGAAGGAAACCAAUGCCUCCUGGCAGCCUGCUUGUUGAUUAGGGUGCUAGAUAAAUGAAGGAAGAACAAGUGGGAAGGACUUUCCUCAGGCUGCCCAUCUUCUCCAUUCUUUGUAGCCACAAACUCUUGGACACAACAGAUAGGAAAUGGCCAUCUCCAGAGAAGGUUCCCACAUGCAUCUUACAGAAGCAACAUAUUUUAUUGUGGUUAAAACUAAUAGGGUUUUAAUGCUUUUAAUUUGUUUGUUUUGUUUUGUUUUUAACAACUGACAUGUUUCAGUUGUGUUUUGCACAUAUUUGGAGGUCUUUCUUCUUGGUCCUUGUUGCCCAGAUGUUGGAUGUGACAAACUGGAACAUGCUGAGUAGAUAAUUUGGAGCACCCAGCAUCUCCAGAGCAAAGUGUUCUGAAACAAGAGGCUGUGGCUGGCUUAUACAGAGUAGUAGGAUACGUUUUUGUUUCUUUCUGUCUGCUUUUUGCACCACAUAGUUGCUGGGAAAAUAGAUUCUGCUAUGUCUACAUGAGCAGAUGCUUUCAAGUCUUUACUGCCACCAAAACACUUUCAAAGACAUGUUGACUUACAGUCUCGACACUGGGCGUGAUUGGUGUGCAAGAAAGAAGCCUGCCUUCUGAGCAAGAGGGAAAAUCAAAACAUGAAAGAGUUAUCAUCUGUCCAGCACGAGCAAUCCCACGUGCUGAAGCAGGGAGACAGUCACACAGGCAUUUAAAAGGACUCGGGAUCGAGCGCAGAGCUAAACCUUGGUGGGAGAACCUCUGCUUUUCAGUGCAGAAAGUUUUUUUUCAGACGUUAAGUAAGAUGUCCUACUUGUUUCUCACUUCUCACUGACUGCAAAACGGAUAACAGGAAGGAAGCACUCCACCCAGUUUCUUCAUGCACCGUUGCUUAAAGGUGUUAUCACUGUCUCAACAGAAGACCGUUAUUUUUUUCUUUUUAAGAAAAAAAAAGGGUGAAAAAAAAUAGAACAAAUGAUCUUAUGCCUUAUUAAAUUUUAAUUGUAUGGCAGUUACAGACAGAAAAGCUUUUGCUUUUUCCAGCCACACAUUUGAUAAGAAAUCAUUUUAGCAAGAUACAGAAGGAUUCAGAGUGAGAGAGCAAGCAAGGUUAGGUGGUGUGUAUUUCCAAAGGGAUAUAUGCAGCCCAAAUGAGAAAUCUGGAUCCCAGUUCUACAACACAAGCAUCAGUCAAUUCUUGUAAUCUUGUAAUCAUUCCUGCAGACCACUGUAUAAAAAAGUGAGGAUCAAAUGCUGUUCCUAGUUUUGCCAAGGCAGCAGUAAUGUUGUCAUGGCUGUCAAGGUUCUUCUACAUGGACUCCCCUUUCCAUGUGGCUACAGCUUUGUUCAUUAAGUUCACACUGCUUUUGCUUGCAGGGUUGAGCUUGCAAAACUCUCCUACUCAGCGCUGGGAAGGUUCUCGGAAGGGGUUUGAGGAAGAGCUCAGAUUGCGCAUUGGUUCUCCUCAAGCAGGUCGUGGCUGGGGAGAACAGGGGACAGAGAUCAUGGAGCGGCGCCUGGUUCUGGAGGGCAGGCUGUGCCAUGCAAGCUGUGGAGCCACCUCUCCACAGGCCAGAGAUUAAAUGCAUUUUCAAUUCUGAAAUUCCCCUCUCAAGAAGUUCCUGGCAUAUCUUCAUUUCCAUUGCAUAUCUCAGGAGUGUAUCUGCAGGUCUUCAUUUGUGCCCUUUGUUGAAACUCCUUGCAAUGCAAUGAUAACGACAGGAUCAAACCCACAGCAGAGACCAUUUGAUACCAGCAAAGGCUUAUAUAACCACAACCAAACACUUCAGUUUGGCAAUGUAGGCCAACUGGAUUACUGCUAGCACUAUACUGAGAAUACAACACUUCAUAAAGAUCUUACAAAAAACUGAUUUGAAGGCUCUAUUGCACUGCUUGGUUUCACCAAUGAAGAAGCAUAGUAAGAAUAUUUUAGUAACAAGUAUGUGAAUAACUGUGAUGCCACUGACAGUGAGGAAGAAGUACAAAGAAGACCUGCGAGCUGCAGCAAUGUCACCCUACAAUGUUGUCACCCCAUAAUGUUGUCUCCCUACAACCCUGCCACCCUACAACCGUCAGCCUACAGCUGCGUCACCCCACAACUCUGUCUCAAAGGCAAGCAGUGUUUCUCAAGAAAACACAGACAGGACAACACAUCAAAGCCAGGUGCUGCUGGGCAUCCUUGCGCCAAAAAAUGACAUUCAUCCUUGUAAGUGGAAGCCAACAUUUGAAGACGUGCCUCAGCAGAGUUGUGCUACGCAUCUCACAGGACUGUCACAAACAAGUGGCGAGCUCUGGCACAGUGUUCAAGACUGCUGCCGGCAGCCUGAAAUGGAACACUGCCAGUUUCCACAGAAGACAGCAGCCACAGUGUGACAGAGAAUGGGGCCAAGAAGGCAGCUAUUUCCUGGACCCAGACGAUGAUGUGAAGAGGGAGGCUUGUGCUGUGCGGGUUAUUUUCUGCAGUGUUUAGUAUGUGUCCCAGUUGUAAUAGCAAAUAGGUAUUUCUACAUAAUAUAACAGCAAAAGGUGUUCUCUUAGUUUUUAAGCAUAGCUGUUGCAAUGAAUUAAUGUUUCCAUUAGUGUA